GAGUUUGAUCUUGGCUCAGAGCGAACGCUAGCGGCGGGCCUAACACAUGCAAGUCGAGCGGAGAGCUUCGGCUCUUAGCGGCGAACGGGUGAGUAACACGUAGGUCACGUAUCCUCAGGUGGGAACAACCGUGGGAAACCAUGGCUAAUACCGCAUACGGCCCUUCGGGGUCAAAGCCUUCGGGCGCCAGAGGAGCGGCCUGCGUCCCAUUAUUUAGUCCUAGUUGGUGAGGUAACGGCUCACCAAGGGUACGAUGGGUAGCUGGUCUGAGAGGAUGAUCAGCCACACUGGGACUGAGACACGGCCCAGACUCCUACGGGAGGCAGCAGUGGGGAAUAUUGCGCAAUGGGCGAAAGCCUGACGCAGCCACGCCGCGUGAGUGAUGAAGGCCUUCGGGUUGUAAGCUCUGUCGGGAGGGACGAAGGGAGGCGAAUCCCUGACGGUACCUCGCCAGAAAGACACCGGCUAACUCUGUGCCAGCCGCCGCCGU
rnacentral:rRNA from 1 species